GGUAGCGUGUCCGAGCGGCCUAAGGAGCACGCCUCGAAAGCGUGUGUGGGUGCAAGUCCACCGUGGGUUCAAAUCCCACCGCUACCGCCA
rnacentral:tRNA from 2 species